UACGAAGGGGGCUAGCGUUGCUCGGAAUGACUGGGCGUAAAGGGCGCGUAGGCGGAGUGCUUUGUCGGGCGUGAAAUUCCAGGGCUCAACCUUGGGGCUGCGUUCGAGACGGGCAUUCUAGAGUGGAGAAGAGGGUCGUGGAAUUCCCAGUGUAGAGGUGAAAUUCGUAGAUAUUGGGAAGAACACCGGUGGCGAAGGCGGCAUCCUGGACCGGCAUUGACGCUGAGGCGCGAAAGCCAGGGGAGCAAACGGG
rnacentral:rRNA from 1 species